GUGACAAUCAGUAGGAAAGGAGAGAGAGCAGAAAGACUUGAAAAACUGCAAUUUGGUCAGGAAGAAACAUGUUUGAAGUUGCAGCCAAGAAAGCUUUGCUUACUACAGAAGUUAGUGCCACUAAAAAGCAGUCAAGAAUUUUUCACUGGGACAAGAGGAAAGAUGACUUGAGGCUGUAUCAGGAAUCAGCAAGACUCCAACCUAGACUCAAAGGUAUAAAAAAUAUAAACUUUAUUCAAAGGCUUUCCUUUGAGAAGAGAGACCCAGAGCAUCCCACUUGCACAGGUUUG
rnacentral:lncRNA from 1 species